AGUUAUAAAAUGGGGGAGGGGUCAUAUCUCUUUCAAUAUACGUUUAUUAUGGUGAGUGACCACUCUGUCUCCUGGCGCAUGCCUCCCCAUGUCCUACAGACAUGAAAGCUUUAGGGUAUGUUGUUUCCCUUUCUUUUUAAGAUAGUUUGUCCCAUGAUUUUGGGCAGUUAAGCUUCAUCUACAAUGGUUAUUAAAUCAAUAUUAGUUUUAGCCGUUUUUAAAGCCGAAGCUCUCGCCUCCUCUCCUUGGUGACAAAGGGUACAAGGUACAAGCUUCAUGUCUGAAAAUUAUCUUGCCAUCAAACCAAUUCUUUGACAUUAGUUCCUAGCAUUAUUGGGCAGACAUGUAGGGAAAAAGUAGUUUGUUGGCAUUGUUGGUGACUGCUGUCCACAAGGCAAAUCAAUUGCUGCAGAAGCUGGUAGCCAGGGUAAUGCUUCAUCACGUGAGAAGCCAAAUCCUUGUUGAUUCCCACACUGCAGUACAUUAAAAAAAAAAAAAAAGAGGCGAGCAGAUCUCUCAAAAACACAGGACUUAACCUACUUAUUUUUUUCGAUGAUGUGAUCACCAAGGGACACAAGGUUUCCAACAUAUUGCACUUACUGUAUACAUGUUGCCAAACCGAAUCCGUCAUUGAAGAAAACUGCAUGGUCAAUCCCUGCUCUGCUAACUGCCUUGGAAAGAUUUACUAUAAAUUAAAAAUCAUUGAUUUUAGUUGAUGUUUAAGCUCUAACAACAGCAAUUUACCUUAACAAAGUAGUUGCUUCAAGUUCACUUUCGGGCGAGAAGCUAUUAAGCUUAGAGAUGUAAAUGAGUAGAGUACUCGUUAUUUUUUAAGUAUUCAAUCCAAAAUCGUUUAAUUAUCAA